AUCCUUUCUUUUUCAUAAGUGUGAAGAUUGGGCGUUCACGCCUUUGGGCGGUGGGUGCUUGUCUUAAACCCUGUUACAUGGAACAUUACCCAACUGGCA
rnacentral:snoRNA from 1 species